rnacentral:rRNA from 1 species
GACGAACGCUGACGGCGUGCUUUAGACAUGCAAGUCGAACGAGAAAGCCCUUCGGGGUUAGUAAAGUGGCGAACGGGUGAGUAACACGUGGGCAAUCUGCCCUUCGUAGGGGGACAACCGGGGGAAACCCCGGCUAAUACCCCGUAAGCUUGUCGGGUCGCAUGGCCUGACAAGGAGAGGUAGCUUCGGCCAUCCGGCGAAGGAGGAGCCCGCGGUUCAUUAGCUAGUUGGUGAGGUAACGGCUCACCAAGGCUACGAUGUAUAGCUGGUCUGAGAGGAUGAUCAGUCACACUGGGACUGAGACACGGCCCAGACUCCUACGGGAGGCAGCAGUCGGGAAUCUUGCACAAUGGGCGAAAGCCUGAUGCAGCAACGCCGUGUGAGCGACGAAGGCCUUAGGGUCGUAAAGCUCUGUUGUUAGGGACGAAGGGCGAAGGGUUAAUAGCCCUUAGCCUGACGGUACCUUUCGAGGAAGCCCCGGCUAACUACGUGCCAGCAGCCGCAGUAA